CUGUACAUAAUGGCCAUGGUGAUGGCCAACUGCAUGUAGGCCACUCAUCCACAACAACUCUUGUGUUUUAAUUCAGCUCUUUUAACUGUUCCGUUACGAGUUCACGUUGUUUUUUUACAAGCUGACAGAGAAGCGAAUAUUUACCGGAGAUGGGAGUCCCGGCGUUUUUCCGUUGGCUUAGCCGAAAAUAUGCGUCAAUCAUUGUGCAUUGUGUGGAGGAAAAGGGGAAAGAAUGUAAUGGAGUCCGUAUUCCUGUCGAUACGACCAAGCCAAACCCCAACGAGGUGGAAUUCGACAACUUGUACUUGGACAUGAACGGGAUCAUUCACCCCUGUACACAUCCAGAAGACAAAGCCGCUCCAAAAAAUGAGGAUGAGAUGAUGGUCGCCAUUUUCGAGUACAUCGACCGCCUGUUCAAUAUUGUUCGACCCAGGAGAGUUCUCUACAUGGCCAUCGAUGGAGUGGCUCCGCGGGCCAAAAUGAACCAGCAGCGCUCUCGGCGCUUUCGUGCCUCCAAAGAAGGAGUGGAGUUGACCGAGGAGAAGGCUCGCAUGAGGGAGGAGGUCAUUCAGAGAGGAGGUUAUCUUCCACCUGAGGAGAUUAAAGAGAGGUUUGACAGCAACUGUAUCACUCCAGGAACAGAGUUCAUGGACAACCUGGCACAGUGUCUUCGUUACUACGUUGCAGAACGACUCAGCAAUGAUCCAGGAUGGAAAAACGUCACGGUCCUUCUGUCUGAUGCUAGUGUUCCCGGGGAAGGCGAACACAAGAUUAUGGACUACAUCAGGAGACAGAGAGCUCAGCCCAACCACGACCCCAACACACACCACUGCCUGUGUGGAGCUGAUGCUGACCUGAUCAUGCUGGGCCUGGCCACCCACGAGCCGAACUUCACCAUCAUCAGAGAGGAAUUUAAACCCAACAAACCCCGCCCGUGUGCGCUGUGCGGACAGAUCGGUCACGAAAUCAAAGAUUGCCAGGGGGCAGCCAGAGAGAAACAGGGAGAGCACGAUGAGUUUGCAGACACGAUGCCAGUCUCUGAACAGGAGUUCAUAUUUAUCAGAUUGUGUGUGCUGCGGGAGUACCUGGCCAGAGAGCUGACCAUGGCCAGCCUGCCGUUUCCUUUUGACUUUGAGAGGAGCAUAGACGACUGGGUAUUCAUGUGCUUCUUUGUGGGAAAUGACUUCCUGCCGCACCUGCCGUCCUUGGAGAUCAGAGAGGGAGCGAUAGAUCGACUGGUCAACAUCUACAAAGACGUUGUGCACAAAACUGGAGGCUACCUAACAGAGAAUGGCUAUGUCAACCUGGAGAGGGUGGAGCUGAUCAUGCAGGCGGUGGGCGUGGCUGAGGACAACAUCUUCAAGAAACGCAAAGAGGACGACGAAGGCUUUAAGAGAAGAAUGAAAGAGAAACGAAAGAGGAUGAAGGCAGAGCAGCGGGGUCCCGCCUACAUGACCACGGGCCAGUUUGCCCCUCAGGCCCUGGGGAGAAGAGACCGACCCGAGGCCGUCCAGAACGCCCGGCACCAGGCCUACGACAUGAGGAUGCAGCACAACAAGGAUGCUGCUCAGUUCCUGAAGGCCACGAUGAAGAACGGUGGCAAUUCGUCUGCAGGGGCCAGCGGCAGCGCAGACAACCGGGGGAUGAAGAGGAAAGCUGAGGACAGUGACAGCGAGCCGGAGCCUGAAGACAACGUCAGGUUGUGGGAGGACGGCUGGAAGCAGAGAUACUACAAGACCAAGUUUGACGUGGACGUGGAGGAUGAGGACUUCAGGAAGAAGGUGGUAAAGUCGUACGUGGAGGGUCUCUGCUGGGUGCUGCGCUACUAUUACCAGGGCUGUGCCUCCUGGAAGUGGUACUUCCCGUUCCACUACGCGCCGUUCGCCUCCGACUUCAAAGACAUCAAAGGCAUGUUCACCGACUUUGAGAAGGACACCAAACCGUUCAAGCCACUGGAGCAGCUGAUGGGUGUGUUUCCUGCCGCCAGCGGCAACUUCCUGCCCCCAACAUGGAGGAGCCUCAUGAGCAGUCCCGAUUCUCCCAUCAUUGACUUCUACCCCGACGACUUUGCCAUUGAUCUCAACGGCAAGAAAUACGCCUGGCAGGGCGUGGCCUUGUUGCCUUUCGUGGAUGAACGUCGGCUGAGGGCGGCUCUCGCAGACGUUUACGCUGACCUCACACCCGAGGAAGUGAGAAGAAACAGCCUGGGCAGCGACGUGAUGUUUCUCGGGAAGUCUCACCCGCUCUUCGACUUCAUCCACGAACUCUACCGAACAGAAUCUCACGAGGACACUGAGAUCCCCGCAGAGCUGUGCCAUGGAAUCCUAGGUACAUUAAAUCUUGAUGACAACCCUAUUUUACCAGAUAAGCCAGUCACUUCACCCAUCCCAAUGCUGCGUGACAUUUCACAGAACACUGCGAUCGGCGUGAAGUUCAAGGAUCCCCACUUUGCAGAUGGCUUUGUGUUCAAGGCGGUCCUCCUUUCUGGAGCCAAGAUGCCCAAUAAGGUCCUGAAGCCAGGGGACUGGGAGAAGGGGAACAGGGAACCAUGGAGGCCCCAGCUGGGCUUCAACCAACACAGGCAGCAGGCUCACCUGGACCAGUCCGGAUUCCGUGCUCUGGGCCACAGUCUGAACAGAAACCAGCACGGCGGACAGUACAGCAACGCCCCGCCGCCGAGCAACUACCAACAAGGAAACUACCGUUCUUCACAUAGGGGCGGCCACCAACCUUUCCAACAUUCCAGGCAGAACAGUUUGCUGGGAGCGCCUCCCUCUUACCACCAGCCCCAGUAUCCAAGGCAGCAGCCGCAGCGCAGCAGCAGCAGCAGCAGCAGCAGUACGGGGCCAGCCGGGGUCACGGUUGGGAUCGGGCCGCGCAGUCGCAGCAGUCGGCCUACCAGCAGAACAUGAGCCGUGGGCAGGGAGGGGCGCCGGCGGGGGGCACCUACCAGCAGCGCUACCACGACCGCCAAGACGACUGGCGCGGUCGCAGGGACACCCGGGGACCACAGCAUCAGCAGAAUUAAAGUCAGUGAAUUCAAGGCCUACAGCUCUGGCAGAGGUUACCCCGCGCCUCCUCCAUCCAGAAGAUACAACUGGAACUAAACUCAAAGUUUGACUUUGGGACUUUCAGGGUGUGGGCCCGGAUAUUUUUAGGGGAGACAUGUCCCUUUUUUUUCUUUUCUUUUUUCCAGUGUAUUGUCUUCUUGAACAAUGAAAUUGUGUUUUUAUUUUUUCCUUUUUAUUCUUACACAAAAAAAUCGUAAUAUGUAACUUGUGAUUUUUAAGACAAACGGCCUGUAAAACUUGUCAAAUACAAGUAAGUCAAGGACAAAGUGUCCCGCUGUGUUUAUUUUUUGAGAUAAAUCUCUCCAAAAGUGGUUCAUGUGUUUAAAAAGGUAACAAACAUGUGUAAUAAAACAAUAACCAUAAUGUUUGGGUUA